AAACAAUAUGGCGACCAUUAAUAAAAUUGACAUAACCACACAACUGUUCACAACAGUGCCAUGCAAACCACCUGUUCCACCUGCUUCAUUUGGAAAAUUCCACAACAGGGGAAGUGGGAAGCUGUUUAGAUCAACAUUCCAAAACAGUAUAUUUUCAGAUAGAAAUUUAGCAAACCAAUCAUCUAGCAUUAACACAGCUUCAACAAAAGAGGGUUUGUUCAAUUCAUCUAGUCCACAUAGUGACAAGUCAUCACCAUGUUUGGAGUUAGUAGUUCACCCUGGCUUUAAAACUGAAGAUGAUAUUACUAACACAAAUGAUGCUCCAAGUUAUUGUAGAAGAACUCAAAGUGCCAAAGCUCGAGAAAGAUCGAAAUCGAAGACCGAUUCAAAAUGUAAAAAUAAAAGGCCACAGAGUGCUGGACACAAGUUUAAAGACACUGGUGUUUCUGAAGAGACAAUAUCUAUUAUUGACUUGGCAAGUAAGGUCAUCCCAGAUCUUUUUGAAAUUGAAAAAGAAAAACUGCUAGCUUUACCAGCACCAAAAGAAGUUCACAGAGAUGCAUUUCAAGAUUGCCUACCUAUGCACUUUUCCAAUCCUUUGCCAGAAUUUUAUUCCGUAAAAACAGACAAUAAACAAGAUCUAUCUUCAAAAUUGUUGCAAAACGAUUUAAAGCCAUGUGUGUAUGGCUUACAGAGGCGAAGAUACAUGUUUGGAAGCGCACCAGAUCUGAGAACUGUAAAUGAUGAUUGUGACACAUUCCCAUAUAAAUGCUCUAACGAUGAAACAAAUGCAAAGAUGAAUGAUCACCUUCGUUUUCAAAACAAAUGCACCCCUACCACACUUGACCCUUUGUUGCCAUGGUUACAAAAGGACGUUCCAGCCGAAGUCCUGGGCGUGGAUCCUGCCACCUGUAUAGUCCUGCUAUCCCCUGUGGACUGGGGGACUCUCCCAGAGGUGCCGGAGAUGCUUGGUAAUGAGGAUGACCUAGCCUUCGUGAAGGAUGUCACAACACCAAAGCCAUGGAAUCCAAAGAAAUAUCCCCAUUACUAUAACAAGCAGCCUGUUGAAGACUGGGUUUGUAGUCAUGGCCACACUCCUCUGCCCCACGGAGACCUGCACUCACAAACUGUUUAUAGACCUUAUUUCAAGAUGCCAAGAAUGAGAACUGCAGAUGUUGUGCGGAAGGAAAUAACAGACCUGGAGAAUCUUAUCAAAGGUGUGGGUAAUAAAGACAGCAGUUGUGGACUGGUGCAGUACCAGUCAGAGAUAGCCCAGUUCCAGUACACACUGAAUGAGACCCUACAGUGUAUCCCAGACAGAUUGAAAAACAUUCCCAAGCCAAUUGACACAUUUGGUCUCAACAAGCUGUGUGCGGACCAUGACAUCUUCAUCAGUGAGAUACAGGCAAGAGUGCAGGAGUGUCGGGAGGAGCUGGCUGACCUUGAACUGGAGGCGGGAAUCGCUACCAGCAGACGGCACUUCACCAGACCAAAAUCAGCCAUGUGAAGUUGAUAAAUUGAGCAGCUCUUUGGGAACAUUGGGCUUAAUGCAUGUGCAUAAAGUGUUUUCCAAGAUAAGCCUGUGAAGUUUGCACAGGCUAUUCAGGGUGUGUCUUUCCUGAUUAGUCUGAGCCCAGCUUUAAAGAAUUGUUGUAGACAAUCAUGACAUAUAUGUUCAUGUCAGCCUACAUCAGAUACUUAAACUAAUCUAUAAGGAAUCAUAUGAGCUGUGUCGUGCAAAAAGGGAUACUAUGCCAUAUGUUGCCAUCCUAGCUUCAGACCAACCUGAGUAUUUGCGUAGUCCUGUCAGGAGAUAUCAUGACUGCUAAUCAGACCACUAAACAAAUGGUGACUUUGUAGCGGACAGGGUAGAUUCUGAUCAGACUGCGCAAUUAUCUGACUGCUAGGCUUAAAGGAACUUCAACCACGAAUGACGAAAAAUGAAAAGUUCUAAAAUACCGUAUUUUUUUACAAAUAUUAGUUUAUAUUCAUUAAAAUUUUCACGACUGGUAUAUUACAUUACUUGAAAAAAGUUCAUAUUUUCAGUAUAUUCGGUAAUAAAAUUUUGUGAUGUGAAAUCGAAAGAACAUUGCGAAAACAGGUGACAUAACGAGAUACACUCUAUAAAUAACGCAAGUAGAUUGAUCAUUUUAUAUAUAAAAUAUAUACAAUUCACUACGCAUGCACAAAAUGCAUUCCUGGGUUUAUCACGUGACAAUGAUGAUCAAUCUACUUGCGUUAUUUAUAGUUAACUGGUAGUUACUUGGUAGCGAUACCCAGUAAAAUUUAUUAUCCAAUAUACUGAAAAUAUGAAAACUUAACAACUUUUUUCAAGUAAUGUAAUAUACCAGUCGUGAUAUUUUAUAAAGUAAUAAUUGUAAAAAAAUACAGUAUUUUUAGCUCAUCUAUUUUUUGAAAAAAAAUUAUGAGCUAUUGUCAUCACCUUGGCGUCGGCGUCUGCGUCGGCGUCGGCGUCCGGUUAAGUUUUGCGUUUAGGUCCACUUUUCUCAGAAAGUAUCAAUGCUAUUGCAUUCAAACUUGGUACACUUACUUACUAUCAUGAGGGGACUGGGCAGGCAAAGUUAGAUAACUCUGGCGUGCAUUUUAACUGAAUUAUGUGCCCUUUUUAUACUUAGAAAAUUGAAAAUUUUGGUUAAGUUUUGCGUUUAGGUCCACUUUUUUCAGAAAGUAUCAAUGCUAUUGCAUUCAAACUUGGUACACUUACUUACUAUCAUGAGGGGACUGGGCAGGCAAAGUUAGAUAACUCUGGCGUGCAUUUUGACAGAAUUAUGUGCCCUUUUUAUACUUAGAAAAUUGAAAAUUUUGGUUAAGUUUUGUGUUUAGGUCCAUUUUUUUCCUUAAGUAUCAAAGCUAUUGCUUUCAUACUUGCAACACUUACUAACUAUCAUAAGGGGACUGUGCAGGCAAAGUAAUGUAACUCUGAUUGGCAUUUUGACAGAAUUAUGUGCCCUUUUUAUACUUAGAAAAUUGAAAAUUUGGUUAAGUUUUGUGUUUAGGUCCACUUUAUUCCUACAGUAUCAAAGCUAUUGCUUUCAUACUUGCAACACUUAUUAACUAUCAUAAGGGGACCGUGCAGGCAAAGUUAUGUAACUCUGACUGGCAUUUGGACGGAAUUAUGGGCCCUUUUUACUUAGAAAAUUGAAAAUUUGGUUAAGAUUUGUGUUUUGGUCCACUUUACCCCUAAAGUAUCAUAGACAUUGAUUUCAUACUUGGAACACUCACAAACUUUCAUAAGGGUACAGUCAAAGGACAAGUUGCAUAACUCUGGUUGUCAUUGUUACGGAAUUAUGGCCCUUUUUUGACUUAUUAAAUUUGAAUAUAUGGUUAAAUUUUGUGUUUCGAUCCACUUUACUUCUAAAGUAUCAAGGCUAUUGCUUUCAAACUUCAAAUACUUUCAUGCUAUCAUGAGGUUACUGUACCUGGCAAGUUGAAUUUUACCUUGACCUUUGAAUGACCUUGACUCUCAAGGUCAAAUUAUUAAAUUUUGCUAAAAUUGCCAUAACUUCUUUAUUUAUGAUUAGAUUUGAUUGAUACUUUGACAAAACUACUCUUACCUGACAUACCACAAUAGACUCCACCCAUACCAUCCCCAAUGCCCUCCCCCC